rnacentral:rRNA from 1 species
GAUGAACGCUGGCGGCGUGCCUAAUACAUGCAAGUCGAGCGAACAGACGAGGAGCUUGCUCCUCUGAUGUUAGCGGCGGACGGGUGAGUAACACGUGGAUAACCUACCUAUAAGACUGGGAUAACUUCGGGAAACCGGAGCUAAUACCGGAUAACAUGUUGAACCGCAUGGUUCAACAGUGAAAGACGGUCUUGCUGUCACUUAUAGAUGGAUCCGCGCCGCAUUAGCUAGUUGGUAAGGUAACGGCUUACCAAGGCAACGAUGCGUAGCCGACCUGAGAGGGUGAUCGGCCACACUGGAACUGAGACACGGUCCAGACUCCUACGGGAGGCAGCAGUAGGGAAUCGUCCGCAAUGGGCGAAAGCCUGACGGAGCAACGCCGCGUGAGUGAAGAAGGUCUUCGGAUCGUAAAACUCUGUUAUUAGGGAAGAACAAAUGUGUAAGUAACUAUGCACGUCUUGACGGUACCUAAUCAGAAAGCCACGGCUAACUACGUG